AGAUGAUGGUCUUUGUGCCAAAGGGAGCUGGGCUGUCGUAUUGACAUUGCUUCAUGUUCAGAGGAGUAUCAGUUGCUGUUCGUUGUUCCAGGAGAUGCCACCGCCAGUGGUGAUAUUAGUGUGAUG